AGUUUGAUCCUGGCUCAGGAUGAACGCUAGCUACAGGCUUAACACAUGCAAGUCGAGGGGCAGCAUGGUCUUAGCUUGCUAAGACUGAUGGCGACCGGCGCACGGGUGAGUAACACGUAUCCAACCUGCCGUCUACUCUUGGACAGCCUUCUGAAAGGAAGAUUAAUACAAGAUGGCAUCAUGAGUCCGCAUGUUCACAUGAUUAAAGGUAUUCCGGUAGACGAUGGGGAUGCGUUCCAUUAGAUAGUAGGCGGGGUAACGGCCCACCUAGUCUUCGAUGGAUAGGGGUUCUGAGAGGAAGGUUCCCCACAUUGGAACUGAGACACGGUCCAAACUCCUACGGGAGGCAGCAGUGAGGAAUAUUGGUCAAUGGGCGAGAGCCUGAACCAGCCAAGUAGCGUGAAGGAUGACUGCCCUAUGGGUUGUAAACUUCUUUUAUAAAGGAAUAAAGUCGGGUAUGCAUACCCGUUUGCAUGUACUUUAUGAAUAAGGAUCGGCUAACUCCGUGCCAGCAGCCGCGGUAAUACGGAGGAUCCGAGCGUUAUCCGGAUUUAUUGGGCUUAAAGGGAGCGUAGAUGGAUGUUUAAGUCAGUUGUGAAAGUUUGCGGCUCAACCGUAAAAUUGCAGUUGAUACUGGAUAUCUUGAGUGCAGUUGAGGCAGGCGGAAUUUCGUGGUGUAGCGGUGAAAUGCUUAGAUAUCACGAAGAACUCCGAUUGCGAACGCAGCCUGCUAAGCUGCAACUGACAUUGAGGCUCGAAAGUGUGGGUAUCAAACAGGAUUAGAUACCCUGGUAGUCCACACGGUAAACGAUGAAUACUCGCUGUUUGCGAUAUACUGCAAGCGGGCCAAGCGAAAGCGUUAAGUAUUCCACAUGGGGAGUACGCCGGGCAACGGUGAAACUCAAAGGAAUUGACGGGGGCCCGCACAAGCGGAGGAACAUGUGGUUUAAUUCGAUGAUACGCGAGGAACCUUACCCGGGCUUAAAUUGCAGAUGAAUUACGGUGAAAGCCGUAAGCCGCAAGGCAUCUGUGAAGGUGCUGCAUGGUUGUCGUCAGCUCGUGCCGUGAGGUGUCGGCUUAAGUGCCAUAACGAGCGCAACCCUUGUUGUCAGUUACUAACAGGUUCCGCUGAGGACUCUGACAAGACUGCCAUCGUAAGAUGUGAGGAAGGUGGGGAUGACGUCAAAUCAGCACGGCCCUUACGUCCGGGGCUACACACGUGUUACAAUGGGGGGUACAGAGGGCCGCUACCACGCGAGUGGAUGCCAAUCCCCAAAACCUCUCUCAGUUCGGACUGGAGUCUGCAACCCGACUCCACGAAGCUGGAUUCGCUAGUAAUCGCGCAUCAGCCACGGCGCGGUGAAUACGUUCCCGGGCCUUGUACACACCGCCCGUCAAGCCAUGGGAGCCGGGGGUACCUGAAGUGCGUAACCGCGAGGAGCGCCCUAGGGUAAAACUGGUGACUGGGGCUAAGUCGUAACAAGGUAAC
rnacentral:rRNA from 1 species